CCCCGCCUUUUUGGUUUUUUGUUAUGUUGACUUGUGUUUUAGCCUGUCUUUUCCUUUGUUUUCUGUCGAUGGCCAUGAGUUUAAUGACUGCUGUUUAUUCAGGUAAGCGCUUAAUACUGCUAGAAAAUGGGUUGGUAUGGACGGAGUGCGCAGUUUGAAUAAUAGGCAGUUUCCUGUACCCUAGCUUGUUAUUGGUAUUACUGAGGAUGCCGAAUCCCAAUUUGUGAAUGCGUGCGAGCAUACUUUUUCCGGUUUGGAGCUGGGGUUCCACGGGUGCAGGAGCUUGAGGUGGUGGUGUCACUUCAUCAUUUGCUGUGGACACGUUUGUGUGUGCAGUGAGUGUGUCGGGGUGUGUGUGUGUGUGGAGGUGUAAGUGUGCUUUUGGCUAAAUUCAGCACUGGUGAUCACUCCCGUGGGUGACCUCAGCCCUUUACCAUUGGAGAGUGCUGCCGGCAGUAGGUGAUGAGGAUUCAAUGUGACUUUUAAAUGGUGAAACAAUUGUGAAAAUAAAUUUUGUACUUUCAUACUUUACUCACGUCUCUCACCUAUUCAUAUGAGAAUUGAACCUGUGUGGCCAAAUAGUCAUAUUUGAGCU